GACACGAUGGCCGAGUGGUCUAAGGCGGUAGAUUUAAGCUCUACUACAGAAAUGUGCGUGGGUUCGAACCCCACUCGUGUCA
rnacentral:tRNA from 3 species